rnacentral:rRNA from 1 species
UACGUAGGGUGCGAGCGUUAAUCGGAAUUACUGGGCGUAAAGCGUGCGCAGGCGGUGAUGUAAGCCAGAUGUGAAAUCCCCGGGCUCAACCUGGGACCUGCAUUUGUGACUGCAUCGCUAGAGUACGGCAGAGGGGGAUGGAAUUCCGCGUGUAGCAGUGAAAUGCGUAGAUAUGCGGAGGAACACCGAUGGCGAAGGCAAUCCCCUGGGCCUGUACUGACGCUCAUGCACGAAAGCGUGGGGAGCAAACAGG